CCCAGACUCCUACGGGAGGCAGCAGUGGGGAAUAUUGCACAAUGGGGGGAACCCUGAUGCAGCAACGCCGCGUGAGUGAAGAAGUAUUUCGGUAUGUAAAGCUCUAUCAGCAGGGAAGAAAAUGACGGUACCUGACUAAGAAGCUCCGGCUAAAUACGUGCCAGCAGCCGCGGUAAUACGUAUGGAGCAAGCGUUAUCCGGAUUUACUGGGUGUAAAGGGAGCGCAGGCGGUACGGCAAGUCCGAUGUGAAAGCCCGGGGCUCAACCCCGGGACUGCAUUGGAAACUGCCGCACUAGAGUGCCGGAGAGGUAAGUGGAAUUCCUAGUGUAGCGGUGAAAUGCGUAGAUAUUAGGAGGAACACCAGUGGCGAAGGCGGCUUACUGGACGGUAACUGACGCUGAGGCUCGAAAGCGUGGGGAGCAAACAGGAUUAGAUACCCUCGUA
rnacentral:rRNA from 1 species